rnacentral:lncRNA from 7 species
GGAUAAGUAUGCACCCCAUGCUCCUUGGCCGGGAUACCCGAGUCUCUCUCGUGACUAUCCCCUCCGUUUCCUCUCAAAUCGUCGUGCCAUGGGCAUUCUCGUCGCCGUGUGCAGAGGAGUGAUCUACCGUCGUCAGGAAUUCUCCGAUUGGACUGUUGUGCACGCCGUCAGCUGUACCAGAGUCUUUCCUCGGGUGCAUGGAGGGACGCUCGUGGCGGCGCUACUCGGAAUUGGCCACGGGCGCGCCACAAUUCCUCGCCGUCGAACCAAAUCUGCCGCGCGCCGUGGGCAGCCAUGUCUAUGCUUCGAGUCGCGGUGACACUUCCU